CAAUCGCUGACCACCACAACUUUUAAGAGAGGAAGCCCUGAAUCAAAGCUCAUUUUGACAGGUGUACAUGUGGAUGAGAGCAACUUUGUCUUCCUCAUAUUGAAAGUAUGGUUCAAGAGUUGUCAACAUUCAAGGCCCAGCGCUGGCUGCAUGCAUACUAAAAAUUGGACUUUGCAUGUGGUUCUUCUAAAGUUUAAGAAUAUGCCACGGGCCGCUGACUACGAGAGGUGCAAGUAGCCCCUUGGCCGCACUUUGGACACCCACGAUCCAGGUCAGUUUCAUAGAGAAGUGGCGUGUGCUGCUGAUGUUUCAUGAGAUUAGAGUUACAAGAACUCGAGACGACCGCUAUCUUUCACUCUAUCAUGUCAUACAUGCCAUGGCAGACUUCAUGACUUCAUGCAGUGUUAAGGUAAUGUAAGAUUAAGAAGCCAGAGGGCAAGAAUUUUGGUUAUGGCAGUUUGUGGAGAACUUGCUGCGACGCCUGUUCCGAGGAGCGUGUGGCACCCACACGUCGCUGCUGGGACAUUGCCGUGAGCCACUUCACUGACACUUAAAAUAAAUAAUAAAAUAAUUUUCGGAUGACAAGAAGAGCUUGUUCCUACAUCGGUGAGUACCUUAAUCCAAGUCUUGGUAAGCACUGCAAAACACGCCUUUCGAUGACAUAUAGGUCACAUAUACGCGACAUGACCAUUCAGACUGCAGUAACACUGCAUACAUAUCGGUUUUAUAUCUAUAUAUGAAUGAGGCCUCAGUCGCAUUUAAAAAAAAAUUGGAAUUGUGCUGUUCACACUGACAUGAAAAAAUCUGAAUCAAAUUGCAGUGUGAACGUAGCCCUAGUAGGUGAACAAUAAAAAGACUAGACUUGAUCGCCGGAAAACCAGGCAUUUAUUGCAGAUUUGAAUGAUCUCACAACAGGCACAAUAAUAUCAUAAUCAUAAUAAUGAUCCUAAUAGUAACACGGGAUACUGUUGUGGCCGUAAUCCAGAUAAAACUCAACUCUGAACCCCCGACAUUACUUCUUGUCAACUUGUCUGGUAAGGAACACAUUUAUUGCAAUACACACAAGCGCAAGUUAUUUAUGUUUUACAUGGCUUAUUAUCUGGUUAUAUUUACUGUAUUGAGUAUUAUGAGUGUAAAGGUGACUAUAUGGGUGUUAUUUCAUGUCCAGUAAUGUUAAAAAAACAUAUUUAGAAUGUUGUAAACAGUCAUUCUAUACUCUUAAGUAUGAAAAUACUUCAUUUUUAAGGAAGGAAUCUAUUUAUAAAUCCAUUUAUAAAGAUGGAAAUGAAUUUACCACGGUCAGGUCUGGAAGCAAUUAACCACGAUAAAUGAGGGAUUACUGUACAUUCAAGUUCCCAAGCCAACUACAAAAAAAACUGAAUAAAAAAACUGAAUAAAGAUAAUCCAGCCACUGCUUACUCUACUUAAUGGGAAAUGUGGGUUUGUCAACAUACUCUUGAUUAACGUGUGAAUGCACCUGGGUUUACUACUACAACUGCAACCUCAUUAGCCAGCAAACUAGCUUCUUGUUACGUCCAUGUACUGAAAGUUACAAAAUAAAUGAUACAAGUGCUGACAAUUGAUUAAAUCCCAUAUGACUAACCCACUUCUAAUUAACAAUAAACGUUCAAAGAAAAGAACCCAAAAACUGUGGAAGGACAAGCACCGUCCAGCUCACCCACGCCUGACCCCUUCAGGAUGCAGCAGGGCUGCAAGUGCCUCCCGUAUGACAUUUCUAUGUAUUUUAUUGUCUGAUUAGCAAGAAUGACGUCACACUGACAUUAAAGACGUUACACAGGCUGUAGAAAGUGGUGUGUAUGUAAUGUUUCUGCAACAUUGUAUUACUGGCAACAUGGCGACAAACAAACUGCCAGUCGCCAUGACCCAACUCGGUGUUCACUCAGACCGUAGGCGAGGCCUGCGCACUAAGCCGAGAAGCCACGCUCAACGGUGGCCUCCCCUGAGGUUUCUUUCAUGUAUUUGAUCAGGAAAUCUGCAAAUUCAGCAAUUUUUACAUACGAAAAUGUUAAACGAUUGGAAUCAUACAGAAAAUACAUUUCUAAUACAGAUCAGUAUAUAAAUAUUAAUAUUUAUCUUAUGUUCAGUUUUUUAUUUUUCAUCUUGACCUCCCCUGACCGCAUGUCACUGCGUAUAAUAUAGUGUACAUAUGCUGCAAAAUACCAUAAAUAUCAAGAGGAUUUGACUGUCAAACUUUGAGCUGUUCACUAACUAAACUGUAACGAAGGGAGAGAUUUGUAAAGAAUGGAGCAAAUUAAAUUGGCCAAAUUUCCAAUGGAGUUUUACUUUAAGAGAAGUCCCAGAGGUCACUAUGUAAUUACUUUCCCACCAGGCUUGGCUCUGGGGUCUGAAAUUAUAUCAUGCCUAAUAGGGUUGAUUUAAACUUAUAUUUGAGAAGGCAACUGCUUGCCUAUCACACUCUUGCGCCUUGUUAAUCCUUAACCAAUGAAUUAACCCUUAUUACCAGUGUUGGAAUAUAGAUGAGUGAUCUCUCCCUCUCUUCCCACUUGGACUCGUCUCCCCUCCGAGCCCUCUUGUUCCCUCCAUCUAGCGUUCUGUGAUGGGGACGUCUGGGGUCAGUGAUUCUGUCCUGCGAGUUCCUCCUGCAUUCAAAUUAUUCUGACCCUAGAGCAGCCCAAUCAGCUGACCAAUAAAUGACUUUAAACCCCACCCCAUUUCCAACAUCCAGCUGCUGUGCUAAAUAUUGCCUUAUUGCAGAAGGGGGCACAAGCAAACGCAUGUUGGCAUCACUUCAGUUUUAAAUGGAAAAACAUAGCGUUCACGUGUGGUGUCUUUUAAACUGCCACUCAUCCUUUUUUGUAAAUAACAUGCCUCAGCCCCACUUCACUGACAGACAUACACACAAGUUGAGUGCUCUCAGUCGAGAUUGGUGACGGAGUGUUGACUGUUUUGCCAGUGGUACAUCUGUGUUACUCAUCUCUUCAAACCAUCUUUAAAAAGCAUGUGCAUCAGAGCAGUCACUCUUCCCAUAAACCCUUCUGGCAGGCCAAUAUGUUUUUAAAGCAAAGUAUUGCUGUCUUGCCCCUGAAAGUAAAGAAAAGUUAUUUCAGAAUUUUUAUAUCUUUAGUGACGAUGUCAAUUUGUACCUGUUUUUUAAAAUGCAAGGAGCUUCCACGUCAACGUUUUGUUCAGUCGAGUUUUUUAGCAUAACUUAACUUACAUAAGAGUUUUUUUAGCAGCUUAUGAACUACAACGUAUCUUUAUAGCACAACUAAUUUUAACAGUGGAACUGAACAGAGGAACCAAAUGAGAUGUUAGAACAGUGGAACCUUGGUUAGCAUCGUUACUCUGUUCCAGAAGGUCCAACUCUAACCGAAAACUACUCUAUCCAAAUGAAGUUUUCCCAUAAGAAAUUAUGUAAAUCCAAAUAAGAAAGCCAAAAAUGUGAACACAAAGCAUGUUUUUAUUAGGUAUGCUUCGAUCAGGGUUUUAUGCUGCCGAUACGGAUCAUUCAGGACUGAAAUCGUCCGAUACCGAUCACAUGGCUUAAUUAUACUGUACAUUUUUUUAAAUGUAUUUAUUUUUUGUCCAGGGGUGCCGUAUAAAAGGGAAAAGUCAGGACAAUUCCAAGGUCCCUUGACUGCCAGAGGGCCCAAAAAUAGGCAAUUACUAACACAAUUAGUAAUUAAUUAAUGGGGGGGGAAGGCAACAUGACUUUUUUUUUUUCAUGGGACCCAGAAUUCCAGGCUGCACCCCUGCUACUGGCUAUAUGAUAUGAAAAAAGGAACCAUAAAGUCACCUUAGACAAAAACAUAUUUUACUUAGUUUUUCAAGAGAACCUAUAUCACUCGUGAAACUUACAGAGGAUGAGACACCUUCUUUAAGGAGGAUGUGAGAGUACAUUGGUGAAACUCUAGCAGGAAAGUGAGAGAGCACUCGGCGAACCCGGUGUCUUCCACCACUGAGAAGGGCUGGUCAUCUCGUCCGAUGAAUUCAGUUAUUUUUCGGGUUAUUUGCUUAGCCUUCUGUCAUGCACGUACGGGAGAGUGUUUUCCACAUGGCUGCGUUAGCUGCCGUUUGACUGAUGAUCGUACCGUGAGCCUUGAAAACUCACCAUACUCUGUCACGUGUGUGUUCUUCAAUUGCCGUAUUAAACUAAAGCUUUUUAACGUGCUACGCCCACAAGAUAGGUUUCGUGGCAUAUGUUGGCAGUUAGACAAGAGACAAGGUCAAAUUAACAUAGAGCAAAUCAAUUAGAUGAAUGUUAAUGUACCUUAAUAAUGUAACAUUAGCCGUGUGGAGGGCUAUGUUUCUACUACUGAUUACUGUUGAAUGUGUGGCUAAUUUAUUACGAUGGUAUGCCCUUUAAAGUUAACUUGACUUCAUACUAGGUUUAUUUAAUCUGCAAAAAGACAGAGCUGUGAGUUAAAAAGAUGGAAAAUAAACCAACAAAAAACUAACUAAAAUAAAGUAAAAAUAAUAAUCACUACAAAAACUCAAUCAUUAAAAAAAAAAAAAAGUUUAGAGUUCUUAAAUACACAGCCAUCAACAUACUCAUCUACAUCUACAUAAUAUGUAAUUUAGUCUUAGUAAUGUCAAUUAACUAAUUAUUAUUUCUCUCUCUUUUCCCUUGGAACACAAGAGUCUGUGGAAAGCGCAAAGGAGGUGGGCAUGCACUGUAUGUGAACAAACUGUGGUGCCAUCUUGGCCAUGUGAACAUUAAAAUGUCCAUCUAUACAGCAUUUUUUAAAUAUUGGUUUUCAUUAUUGGGGAAAAACCUGAUACCGAUGUCUGCCGAUAUCACAUGUUUAUGAUAUCAGGCUGAUAUUAUCGGUGGGCCGAUAUUAUCGGACAUCCCAAGUUACUGUAGCAUAGCACAUACCCCAUGAACGUAAUUGCCACUUGUAGCUUCACUGUGAAACAAAACGGUCUCCGUUAACUACAUUGCUUGUAUGUUUUAAAGACAAAAUGUCACAAGGCGGAAAACUAGCUAGCUACCUGGCUGACGCCAGUGAGGCAGAGUGAUGGCAGUAAGAUUGAAAGGUGAGUGAUCACACACGCUGUUAUCGAUAGGUUUAGCCUGUGACAAGAUGUCAUAAAUUGACUCCACAUUUUACAGACUAUUUUUCAUUCUCACAUUAACGAGGGACAAAGUACAAAUACUUUUAUCCGGUCGCACAUGCACGAGUAGAUGAAAAAUGUACACUCAAUGUCAAAUUUUAGCCGCAAAAUGCGACCAAUGUCCAGAGGUCUGGAUAUCACUAGCAGCAAUCGAUUCCCCUGCCUUGACUUCACCUAGCUACAGUAUCCAUUUCAAAGAUUUCUGCACACAUUUGUGGUUCUUGGUAUCCUCUGCAACGGAUGACUUGUCUGUGCUUGUGAAUUUGGAUGAGCGUCCACUCUUAUUGUGUGUGACCUCUGUCUCUCUGGCGGUUUGCCGUCUUGGAUAACAUUUUGACAUUCUGGUCUCCUCCCUCAGACACGGCGAUGCCUCGGGCCGAGGGUGAAUGGGGGGCCCAAUGAUAAGGCUUCACUCACAAUUAGCAGGCUGCAGUGGAGAGGCGAGAGGGGGAAAUUGAACUGUCAGAGAGGAGAAGAGAGAAGAGUGGAGGAGAGAGGAAGGGUGGCAGUGUGAUGGGGGAGGGGUGACCCCAUCCUGCAAAAUGGAGCCCGUCAUAAUUUGUUCAUUUGGUGCCCAUCAGCCUCUACCUUUCCUGUGUAACGCCACACUUCUGACCUUCCUCCCACUGUCUCACUCUUCAUUCCUCCUCUCUUUCUCUCUUUCGCCACACUCCAUUGCUCAUCUUCCUUUUUUUCACCCUCGCUGCUUACCUUCACUCAUCCCAACAUUUCCUCCAUAUUUCACGCUGUGUACAAAUUACACAUUUUAGCAGCUCUUGCAGUACAGCCAUCUAGAUUAGCAGCAUUAUUCUGAUUAGAUUCAUCAAUUUCUGAUUCAGGAGAGAAAUUACCGGGAGGUUUCAAGAGCAGGGCAAACUGGAGGAAUAGAGUCGACAAGACCCCCGGAACUGUUUGCCCUUCCUCUGUGAGGGAUGUGAUGGAUGGUAAUGUUCAUGUUAAAUAAGCAGAGAGGCUUUUAGCAGCUCUGUAUUUAAAUGUCAAAUGCUGAUGGGCCUUAAUGAGGUAAUACUGCUGAGAGCAAUUAGCCUGGUACAGACGUGCUAUUCCCAUCAACACACGGAGACUUGUACACUCACAGCAUUUGUAUUUAAUACAAUGACAAACGCACAUAUAAUCGUGCAGACAUUUUUUGUUACAUACAGUAUGUAGAUGUAAUUAGUCCAUGAAAGCAUCUAAAAGCAAAGGAUGAUUACAGUAUUAACUGCGGGACAUGCAGAUGAAUUUAAAAGUACAGCAAUUGAGUAGUGAAUUCGUUUCAAAGUCUCAUGUUAAGCACCACUAUAGCAAUUAACCAAUUAAGGCCUUUCCUUACCUGCGUCACAUUUGAACUUUAUUUAGUGUACCGUACAUUGGUGUACCGUAUCCACUCUUUCAAGUGUUGUUUUAAUCUGUGGCUACAAAACUGUCUUAUUACAUUAAAAUUCAAAAUACUACAAAAGUUAAUUCUACAUAGGAUGUUAAAAUAAUUUUUAGCAGUUUCCUUGUGUUAGAUGAGAUUGAAUGUGGGAGUUUGUUUACAUUUUCAUUGCUUAUGCAGUGAUAAAAAUGUAAAGUACAAUAUUUAGAAAAGAAGCAGACCUUUUUAAGGAUCAGCUCAGAUCAUAUUCCAACUGAUGUGCAGAGUGGAUGAGUCGGAGCAAAGUACACAAAUUAACAAGGGCAGUUGAUGAACCUGAGCAACAAGUGGCUAACUUUCUGCAUUUAAAGGUGGUGGAUGUAAACAUUGAUACAUGCAUUCCAUUGUAUGGCAGAAAUAACAACAGACUUGUUGUCAUCGUUGUCAUCAACAAAAUGUAAAAAACCAGCUUUGCUGAAACAUAAACAUCUACGUGAAUGAGCAGUGAACAAAACACAACAUAACUUAUUGAAGCACGGGCAAAAUCAAGGCAUUUGGAGUGCCAACUGCAAAAUCUACAUCAAUUUAAAUGGAAAGGUGUAAGAAACCAAAGUACUUGUUAAAGACGUAAAGGAACUGGACAACACAAAUGAUGACAUCAUCUCGAUCAUAAAGAAAUGAAAGGCACCACACAGGAAGACUUAUGCAGUCUGAUGGAAAAUAGUCAUCAACAUUCGACACAUCACUACAAUACAAAGGGUUAACCGGAACUUGUUAAGCAUGUCUGAAAGAAAUGCAUGACAUGACAACUUUAAACACAUGCAGGAUGUCUGCAUCCGAAAAGAUUUACGUAACUAUGAAGUAUUUCAAAUGUGUUAACAGUAGGGGUGUCACCACGCACCCAACUCACAAGAUCAGCCUACACGAGAUUGGGUCCACGAGACGAAGCUAGAUUUUACCAUUAUUUUAAGAAAAAAAUAGGACAGGACAAACGCACUUUUAUUUAACAGAGUCACAAAACAAUUCAGGUGUGUUUUCAAAUGUUUAUAGUCCCAACAAAUUCACGCUAAACAAUAUUAUUGUCGCCCUGCGAUUGGCUGGUGACCAGUCCGGGGUUUACUUCACUUAUGCAAAUAAGAUGCUAAUUAGCCAAUGACAUCAUCUAGCGACUUCAAGCACAUCCAAUAGCUACUGUUCUUUCUGAGGAGUUGACAACAGUGAUUGUCACGAUACACAUGACUUUCAUUUCUUCUACUAACUUGGAGCGUUAGUAACUAACUUCUACUGUUGAUUGCCAGUGCUUGUAAAGUUGGCGCUCAGCCCGAUGUAGCGGUAAAGUCAACUGCAAACAUGUAAGUGUUUUGAUUUGACAAAUCUUAAGUAACUUUGAAACUUUUCAAAUGUAGAAUUACAUUACUACAGCUUCUGCUUGGACAUAACGGUCGCAGCUGUUCAACAAAAAACAGCCACGUGUCACUCGCCACUGGGAACACCAAGUUAGGUUGGAUUGCAAGGUGUGCGUAAAGCACUUAAUGUGCGGUUCUAAUAAUGGCUCGCGCACUACCACUUCCAUAUUUCUGUGUUAUUCAUAGUAGCGAUGCCAUAGUUCACAGUCUGAUUGGCUUCUGGCAGCCCUGUUCUCGCAAAAUUAAAAGCUCUUGUGGCUCCCGUAUUUAAUAGUCAACUCACAAACACAGAAUUAUCUUUUUUUAUCCCUGCACUUUGUAGGUGUACGCUUGUUUUAAAAUGUUUAAGCAAACUUGUCAGAUUGUUUCCGAACAAGCACAUAGUUUUGGAAAGAUGUGAUGAACGUUGAAUGGAUACUUUGAUCGUCGCAAAUCACCUAUUCAUAUUCCAUCCAGUAGAGAUAAAACAUGGCAUUAUAAACCAUACUUUUACUGUUUUUUAGCUGUAAACUUUUAGAAUUACAAUAAGUGAAACUCAUGAUAAGGCAAGGCUGUCAUCAGGCAGCAACAAUAUGUUAGAAAAAAGCUCUUGUGAUUGUUCACAUUAGUGGUGAAAGAAAUAUUCAUACUCUUGCCUGAAAUUACUUGUUUUAUAAAGUAGCACAUAUAUUUUCAAAAGUGCAACUCAACUGUUAGUUUUAGCUACAAGUUGAAGUGACAAGCCAGUAUGGAUUUUUGGCUUUGAAGAUAUCUCUCCCCUUGCUCCCUCUCCCCCUACAAAGUGAGUAAAUUGCGAUAUGUCAGCAGAAGUGUGUGUGUGUCUGUGUGUGUGUCUGUGUGACAGGGAGGAUACAGGUGUUGUUAGCAAGCUUUGAAGGUGACUGCUGGUCUCAUCCAUCAAACGGGCUUUCCUCAGGCUGAUCCCUAAUGGAUCCCCUCAAUCAGAGCCGCUCUCUUUGUCAGUCGCAGUGCAACAAAAUGAGAAAUCAGGCAACUGGUCACACAGCCAAGGUUGGGACUCAUAUAAAGGGGACAAAGUGAUAAAGACCAGCUCAUGUCCAGCCUGUUGAUGAGUAUUGAGUGAUCUUGGCCUCUUUGGUCUUGGCAGAAGCAGAGCAUCAAUCUGAAAAAAACAGUUUUUUUAAAAACUCUUAAUUCCACUUUAUAUUCACUAUAUCCAAAUCUUGACUUGUAAGGGGAUGCACUGGCCUUGUACACACUAUGCUAGAUAUCAGUCCGUGCCUUUUAUUGCACUUAGUGCCUCAAAUUAACUAUUUCUAAUAAAUCAGGAUAACUUGAUAAUGGGUAACAGACUGUACUGAGUGUAUGCAAGGUUUUGAUUUCAUUCUGUGCAAUUUACAACAGCAAUGUAAAUGGAAAUGCUAAAUUGGCUGAGCCUCUUCUGUACUCUUUAAAAAAUAGUCUCACACUAAUGUAGUUAUUGGGUGUUAACACACUUCACUUUGCAUUAGGCCAUUAAAAUCUAUGAAAGCAGCACCGAUGGAACAUUCGUUCUAUUCAUCUGCUCCAUGGCUCCUUGCUAUGUUAAAUGCUGGUUCUGUCUUCCAUUCGCGGUUCUUUGAUUUGAGAAGCUAAUAUACUGAAAGCAUCUUCUUGCUCUCGCUCAUUCCCUCAGCAUUAAAAUGCUGAAACCCUUUAUGACUGCAACAGGCUUCAUUUAGUUUUUGCUAACAAAAAUCAUCUGCUGCGCCAGUAAAGAGCUUUUACAUUGUGGUCUGUGUUGCUAAUUUUCUGUAGGUUCAUUAUACUGUGUACAGGUUUAUCCUUAGGAAAGAUAUAGUGGAGACUUUAAGGAGAUGCAGUAAAAUAAUGGCUAUAAAAUGUCUUAAUGCAGCUAGUACACAACACAUUCACUACUCAACAAAGACACUUUAACUGUCAUGUCUAGAGAUGUAUCGAUUAUUUAGCCGUUACCUUCCAAUAACCUAAUAUCUUCAGCACUUUCAAGCAAGAGUGUGAUACACUGUUGCCAACUCUUGAGGAAGAAAAGUAGCUAUUGGAUGUCUUAGAGGUCACUAGAUGACGCCAUUGACUAAUUUGCAUAUUAUUUGCAUAUGAUUUUGUAAGCGAUGCUGUGGGGAAAAAAGCAUAACCUCGUAGGAGAGCCAAAAAUGUGAGUAAAAACACCUUAAUUGUGUUUUCAACUACAAAUAAACUUGAUUCUUAGUUUGUUCAUUUAAAAUUGGCCAUCACUUGAUAAAAAUAAAAUAAUUUUAAUAUUUUAUAUUGGCCAGCACCUCUCAAAAUCUAGACAGUGUAAUAAUUACAUCCGGACUCACCUACAGCCUGCACCUCUUUUCUUGUAGUUAGGACUGCUUAUUUAAUUUAUCACACAACGUUCUUCCAUCACAUGUUCUGACACACUGACAGGUAAGUGACCGAGUCUGAAUGAGGCUUGAGUGUAAUGAGUAGUCAUGUAAUCAAGAUUAAGAAACAUUUAUGUUUUAGAUCCUGCUCUGUAAAAUGGGGAGAUCCACUUUGGCAGCAUCGUGCCUUGCCCGUGCAUGACACAUGGGUGCGUGGAGCUCCACUAAGCUGUCAGUGUGCCCCGGGAGCUGACUGCACUGACGGAUUGUGACUGCUUUGCGACGGGGUGGACGUCUCAGCAGCACCUGCUGCUGCUCAGUGAGAACACAAACUGCAGAUCAAUACAUGCUUUCACUUUUAAGUCCCCAAAUACCAGAAAACUCUCCAACAACACAAGAAAAAUUUGCUUGGCUUGUCACUAGUCACUUUUGAGAAAAUUUUGAUACAGCAACCUGCAUUUUUUUUUUCAAUUGCCACAAACGUAUUAUCGUUACAAUUAGGGGUGCUCCGAUAGAUCGGCCACAGAUCAGUAUCGGCCGAUUUCCAUGAAAAAGCACUGUAUCGCCAAAUGCCAAUACUUGCUUUAAAAGGCUGAUCCCCUUUGCCGAUCAGUUCCGCCCCCAUUGCUGCAGCCAGCCUAUAGCGACCAUCUCCUACCCACUCUCCCUUCACAAAGCCAAAACAAGCAUGUCUGCCAUGUGGGACUUCCUGUCGUUGGGAGAGUGAUAUAAGUUUUGCACCCUGCAAAACACAACUUAAAAAGCUUUAGAUUGGUGCGGCAUUUGGGGGGCGGGCACUUGGCAGGGUGUGGUCAGUUUUCACAGGCAGCGGCUAUUUAGCCAAAACGUGGCACACGCGCCUGUGAUAGCCCGAACAGUGGCUGGAUUUGUUGGACUGGAUGGCCAGACGCCGUUGGCGGUGGAGGAAACCGGGUUUGCUGACUGCCUGGGGUCCUGCUAGAUGCUCUUGCAUCCAAAGUCUCCUUAAAGAAGGCACGUGAUCCUCUAAGUUUCACAAGUGAUUUUGAAAAAGUAACUCAAAUAUAUUUUUGUCUAAAUUUUAUGGUUCCCCUUUAUAUACAGUAUACUAUAGCCCAGCGGUCACUAACGUGGUGCUCGUGUGCACCAGGGAGGCCCCCCACUACCAUGAGGCUCCUGCAAGCCUGCUUUUCAGUCAGGUUUCCAGUGAAUAAUGUGACAACACUAGAAAGAAAUGCAUUCUGAAAUACAAAAUGUGAGUUGUGGAUACCAGCAUUUUGUUUAUGUUAUGGUAAAACAAACAUUCACUUUGUUUGCAUUGAAAUAAAUAAUUUUUUAAAUGUUCAUUUAAAAAUGUGCACUUAAUCGGCCGAUUUCACUUGUGGAUGAUCGACAUCGGCAGCAUAAAAACCUGAUCAGAGCAUCUCUAGUUACGAUCACCACAUUUGCAUAGUAAGAAGGUCAUAAUUUCAGAUAAUCCCUAAUGGGUAUGAUGGAUGACAAGUCAAAUCUUAUCAGGUUUGAACAGAAUUUGUAAUGCUGUAUGCAAGGAUGUUGAGAUUUGAUGAGGAUGGAAGGCGUAUUAUAUUUUAUAGUUUUCUCUGAGUGUGAUCCACAUUGUACAUUUGGAAACAAUUCCAAUUUUUACACAGAAAUGUUCAAACAUUUACAGUAUCUCUAGGAUCCUGUACUGUAGACAUUCACUUAACAGGUGACAAAUGUUUAAAUCAUGGUGGAGGUCUGUUUUGGUGUUGUGCAAAUGUGAAAAUGUAUACGCAAAAAAAUGAAGAACUGUAACAGUAGUGUCCUGCUGGUGGUGUCUUCCUUUGUCCCUCCUGUAGAUAGUUCUUUGCAUGUUGACUUACGUGGUGACAUUAAUUUUAGUGCAGUAGGUAUUGAUUUGGAGGCCUGCUCACAGUCAUACAUAUACUGUAGGUGUCCAGUGGUGGGCUUACCAAUCACCAUUCGUCAGUGUCUGACUGCACGAGAACACCACCGGUGUGAGCACCCAUGAGAAAAUGAAUCACUGAUUUAAAUGUGGUCCUCCGUAUCGGGAGGCUGUGCAAUGAUCACUUUUCAUGCCAAAUCUGUGCAAGUGAAAUCUAUUUGCAGUGCUAACCACAACUAAAAUGGUGCUCUGGAAUCUUCAACCUGUUGAAUAUGUUUAUACUAUCAUAGUGUAGAUAGUUUAGAUAAGAUAAAUUAAGGGAAUAGUUAUCUUAAAUCUGCUUGACCAUCAUUCCUUUAUCUCAUCCUUUCUUUCCCCAAAGCUAAUGACAACUCCUUGGUUACAGUCCAUGAUUAUCAUACAGAUAGGAUCAUAUCCCAUUGAUUUUAUGCAGAUGAUCACCUUUCUGUGUACGCAGGGCUGAUGGCGGUGGUAAUUUACAGAAGAAAAUCAAUUACCCUUCUCGUCUGCAGGAGUAAUUGUUUAUUAUUUUCCUAUUAGACCGUGUUGAUCAAUGUUAUGGAAAGAUUGCCCAUGAAUACUAUCAACAUAAAUAGAUUUGCCUCCAACAUUAAUGCUAGUUUUCCUUUAAUGACUUAUGCAAUGUCAAACCAAUGCCACAGGGUGAAAACCAAGCACUAACAAUAUGCUAGGUGUGUGUGUCAUUUGUUGGGAGCCUAUGCCUGUUAGUACAUUGUGGGGGCUCUGGCUCGAAAAUUUGCAGAAAUCUCCUUUUGUCUUCAGUUGAUUGAAGGAUUACAUUAAUCAAUUUGAUAGCCCCUUGGUUUUAGGAACAUUUUUAAUAUCUUGAUUUUUCUUGUAAGAUGAGCUGUCAUAUACUUUUGGUGUGACUCACAAUUUAACUACAAUAUUAUCGCUUUUCUACCAUCAGAAAUGAGAGGACCUUAACACUGGCUUCUGCAAUAACCUACUCAGGAAAACCUGUAUCACACAUAGAAAAAAUGAUGCUACCACCUAU